rnacentral:lncRNA from 1 species
GAGAUUUAAGCCCACUUCUUGUCCUAUCCGCCAGGGACGUGGAGAACAGAUUUUUCCCUUCUUUUUCACAAAAGCGUUUUGCAUAUUUAAAAAUGGCAGCGCCAUAGUCUGGGAGGUAGCUACCGUAUUAAUUACCCAGAUGACGCAGAGCUUCCACUGAAACGCACAUCAACUGCUGUGUGUUAUUAUUGUCAUUUAAUUUGACUUCUACAACUAAUCAGGCAUUGCCUUUUACAACAGACGAGACCACUCCUGUGGGUGUAGGUAUUUGGAAACCAAAAGCCCUUAAAGCUGCAUCUUUCUGGUGGAAAAUAUCACCACAAGCCAUCGUGUUUUCUUUCCUGUAUUUGAAAACCACCCACAUUUUCUGUAAGAAAAAAAAAUUAAAAAAAUUAAACUGAUUGAGCGUUUUGCCCAGGCAGUGGGCCUUUCUGAAGAGUUUCAUUCUCAAAAUAUUUGGUCUCUGUUGUUUGUUUUUUUUUUAAGUACGGUUAUUUACAGUCCUUUGUUAAUUUAAAAGAAGCGUGGCAAAAAAAAAAUAAAAAUAAUUAGGGGACGCAUGUAAUAACUUCUCUGAAAGAAGGCAAAAUAUUCCUCUUUGCCUUUGCUUUGAAUUUAUUGAAGCUCAGUUAAUGAGCUAAUAUGCUUGAAAAUAAAAAGAGGAAGAAAAUAUAGCAGGCUAGCUCAUUUCCAAAGUUAAAAUAAUACUUAACUGAGCACUUUUUUUCCACUUUUUUUUUUCCCCCCUUUCCUUUCUCCCUGAAGGUUUCCAUUUCUGCUCAGCGUGCAGUGCAUGUUAACAUGAGGUUUACAUUUCAGUCUUAUUAUCUCAGUCAUACAAAAACAGGUUUGGAAAGGAGCAGGGAGGUCACUUUGUCCCUUCUGCUAUAUGGCGGUUCCAGUGCUCCCCAAACCAGGGAGGUUCCUAAGAGGUCCGUCCGCCCCUGCCCUGCCGUCAUUACACACUUCCAGCCCGGGAUCUCCCUGGUCUCCACAGAAGAGGACAGGAAAUGCAGUGAGCAAAUAAAACCACUUGCAAAAUACUGUGUGAUGGUGCACAUCUCGCAGACACUUCACCAGAAAAGAUUGGGUAAUCCUGGGAGAACCUUUCUACAGGGAAGCCUCCUUGAAAUGGACAUCACUGAAAACCAACGUGAAGCUUGA